GGGGAUGUAGCUCAGUGGCAGAGCGCUUGCCUGGCAUGCGUGAGGCACUGGUUUGAUCCUCAGCACCA
rnacentral:tRNA from 1 species